CGUAUAUUAAAGUUGUUGCAGUUAAAAAGCUCGUAGUUGGAUUUGUGGUUGUCGUUGUCUUUUUCCGUCUUUGACGGGUAUUGGAUUAGCGUCGCCAUCCUUGGGUGGAACUUGUGUGGCAUUAGGUUGUCGUGCAGGGGAUGCCCAUCGUUUACUGUGAAAAAAUUAGAGUGUUCAAAGCAGGCUUAUGCCGUUGAAUAUAUUAGCAUGGAAUAAUAAGAUAGGACCUUGGUACUAUUUUGUUGGUUUGCGCACCGAGGUAAUGAUUAAUAAGGACAGUUGGGGG
rnacentral:rRNA from 1 species